rnacentral:rRNA from 1 species
GCCGGUUUGGCCACAGGAAUUUCCGUCCGGAAGUGUGGGCAUUUUCGGCAGAAAACCAAAGCCCCGUGGGAUCGUCCAGAUAAAUCAAGAUGCGGGCCCGCCAGCGUGGAGUAUGUGUUUAUUCGACGCACGGAAGACCUACCAGCUUGACAUGAGCGCAUCUUUGAAAGUAGAGUCUCUCGAGCGUGAAACAGGUGUGCAUGGUGCGUCAGCUCGUGUCGUGAGAUGUGGGUUAAGUCCCGCAACGAGCGCAACCCCUGCGAUAUGUGCCAGCGUGUAAAGAUGGGAACUCAUAUCGGACAGCCGGGGACAACUCGGAGGAAGGCGGGGAUGACGUCAAAUCAUCAUGCCCCUUAUGGCUUGGGCUACACACGUACUACAAUGGUCAUAACAGACGGAAGCGAAGUCGUGAGACGAAGCGAAACUGAGAAAAUAACGUCUCAGUACGGAUUGCAGGCUGCAACUCGCCUGCAUGAAGUCGGAAUCGCUAGUAAUCGCGGAUCAGAAUGUCGCGGUGAAUACGUUCCCGGGUCUUGUACACACCGCCCGUCACACCAUGGGAGUUAGGAAUGCCCGAAGUCUGUGACCUAACCGCAAGGAAGGAGCAGCCGAAGGCAGGUCUGAUAACUGGGGUGAAGUCGUAACAAGGUAGCCGUAUCGGAAGGUGC